rnacentral:rRNA from 1 species
ACAGAGGGUGCAAGCGUUGUUCGGAAUCAUUGGGCGUAAAGGGCGUGUAGGCGGUGGAGUGUGUCCUGUGUGAAAGCCCUCGGCUUAACCGGGGAAAGGCAUGGGAAACUACUUUACUGGAGUGCGAGAGGGGAUAGCGGAAUUCCUAGUGUAGAGGUGAAAUUCGUAGAUACUAGGAGGAACACCAGCGGCGAAGGCGGCUGUCUGGCUCGUAACUGACGCUGAUACGCGAAAGCGUAGGUAGCAAACAGGA